UACAGAGGUCCCAAGCGUUGUUCGGAUUCAUUGGGCGUAAAGGGUGCGUAGGUGGCGCCGUAAGUGGGGUGUGAAAUUUCGGAGCUUAACUCCGAAACUGCAUUCGAUACUGGCGUGCUUGAGGACUGGAGAGGAGACUGGAAUUUACGGUGUAGCAGUGAAAUGCGUAGAUAUCGUAAGGAAGACCAGUGGCGAAGGCGGGUCUCUGGACAGUUCCUGACGCUGAGGCACGAAAGCCAGGGGAGCAAACGGG
rnacentral:rRNA from 1 species